rnacentral:lncRNA from 1 species
UAAUAUUCAUUAUUCCAGUGACACCCAGCAAAAGAAAACAGAGCCCUGAAGAAGGGGAAUAUAGCAAAGGCAUUCAAGGGGUAAACAGCAACAGAAUAAGGAGCAUCUCAGAGCAUCUUAUAGAAUAAGGAACAUCCCACAGCAGAACUAAGAGCAGAGAGGAGAAUCCCAAAAUGUAGAGGAACAGUUUAAGAAGGAUUAAAAAAUAUUCUGAGUUACCCAGAUUUAUAUUUUUUUGGUUAUUUUACACAUUAUUUCUCCAAUUAUCGAUCUGAAAUACGAUCUUCGCCAAUGCUAGUAACCUAUUGGGAAUGUUUCAUUAUUCAUUUGUCAUCAUUACAAUGUCCAGACUGGAAAAGAUGGAACAAUUCUUCUUUCUUGCAUAAUGUAUUCAGAUUUGAAAACUAUUAGCAAGCAUAAAUUUGCUUGUGUGAUCUGUAUGCCUGUAUAUUCUGCAUAUCAAAAGUUUCUUAAAAAAUAAGUUUUAUAAUUAUUUCAUCUAAAGGCAGAAUUUAAUUACCCACUCAUUAAAUUUGAGCUGGGUUGCUUUUAUUAACUUACUGUGGAAGAAGUUAUGGAGUGCUAAUUCCUAGUCCAUGACUCAAGAAACCUUGCAUCCUUCCCCUCAUCCUUUUGCAUCCCUACCAUCAUUAUGUGGACAGGACUAGGGCCAUCUGAUGGAGGACAAGAGGGCCAUAGCCUAGUCUUUCCUGCUGGACCAGCCAACAGUCAGUAGAGUAAGAGAUCUCUAAUAGAGAUCAUCUUAGACCAGCCAACCUACAAGUUAAUUUCAGAUACAUGAAGCAUGUCCAGGCAAGAUCAACAUGACUGCCCAAUUGACUUACAGACUCAAGGUCAAUAAUAAAUCCUUCUUUUUUUAAGCCAUAGAAUUUUGUGUUUAUUUCUUAAACUGAGAUAAUGGAUAUAGAAAUUAGUACAUAGAAGAGGAUGUUAUUGACUUAAAAUAUGAGUCUCUGGGUUAAGAACAAAGUAAUGAGCCAGUAAUGGAAGUAUAAGGAACAAUUUGGUAGAGGUUGUUAAAUGGUAAGAGAUGCUAUUGGAGCUUGGAAAAGCAGCACCCCCCUUAUAAACUAACAAACAAUUGGCAAGACUAUACCAAUAGAUAUGCUCCUAAUGUUAGCAAAGGUAAGUAUGCUGGAUGCACAGUAUGGCCAAAAAGAUGAAAAUGUCAGAGUUUGGAGAAAAGUUUAUUGUAGGUCAUGCAAGGAGCCUGGAGGUUCAUGUCCAAAAAAACCUCCUAAUUCCCCAACAAAAUUGUUAAGCAUUUUUUAAAGCCAGGUGAGGAAGUGGGGUCUGCAAGGUAAGGGAUCAGCUCCUCACAAUGCUCUGAUUGGCUGAUGGUGAGGUAGCAGGGAAUAUCACAGGGUUUAACAUUAUCAGUCCUUAGGCUCCAGGAGGCCAGGGUCAUCAAGUAGUUAACAUUUUCCAUUGGGGGAGGGCAGUGGUUUACAUUUGUAAAACAACUCAGGAAAUGUGUAUCAGACUUUUAUCUAGGUACUUCAGAGGCCAGAGAGGGGCUAGGAUAUGGGGGAAGCGCCUGUCCCUGGAAGGCUGCAAAGGGUCCUGCUCAGUUACAUUAAUAAAUUGCUAGACACAGACGUAGGCAAAAAUGAUUUUCAGACAAAAUGCUGAAAGUGUCAGUUAGCUUCUUUUAGCAGCAUGUGAUAAGGUAGUAAUGGAACAACAGGAGUUAGAGCAGAGGUCAGCAACAUUCUUCUGUAAAGAGCCAGACAGUAACUUGUGACUAUUCAGUCUGUCUCAACUACUCAACUUUGCUGUUGCACUUCAAAACAGAGCCAAUGUGUAAAUAAAUGAAUGUUAUUGUGUUUCAAAAAAAGUAUUUAUGGGCACUGAAAUAUGAAUAUAACAUAAUUUCCAUGUAUGAUAAAAUUUAUCUUUUGAUUUUUUUUUCUCUUUUUAGCCAUGAAAAAGAAAAUUUAACAAAUAGUCUUAGCUUACAGUCCAUACACAAAUAGGAGGUGGGCUGAAUUUAACCUGAAGCUCUAAGUUUGCCAACUUCUGAACUAGAGAAAGACCAGAUCAGUUUUCAAGAAAAAUUUAGAGGGAUCUAAGAAAAAUAAAAACAAAAUCAUUUCUUAUAGACUUCCCAACUAGCAAGAGUUCCAACAUAAAACAAGUUGAGGAUAAGAUCAAAUCCAAUGUGUUAUUAUAAAACCCUUUAUUAAGAUUUAAGUGUGUGCCCAGGCUUCCCUUUCAACUAAAUAGAAGGGUUUCUAAGAAACUUAAGAGUCUUGUUCCUUGACCUUCUGACAUGGCCAAAGCCAUGAUGAGUAAAUCUAGAGAGAGAAGCAUGUCUCCCAAAUAACUGUGGACUGGAUAUUGGAAUGGACUUGAGUCUGAUUCUGAGGAAGCCUACCAUGUUUUAAGUUGUACUUUCAAAGAAGCUUCAUUCUCUUGAAUCCUGCUCAGCUAGCAGAUGAAUAAAAGCUCAACUAGCAGGAGAGAAAAUCAGAGCACCCCAAUCAAUACCUAGCAAACUCCUAGAAACAGCUACCAAGGUGGCUGACAGAAAACCACAGAUGGGAAGGGAGCUGGUCCUUGACUGGAACAACUGCCUUGCUGACCAGUAGACUCAUGAGCAAUAAUCCAUACUUCUUUUUAGGCCAUUAAAUUGUAAGGUAAUUUUUUUUUUGUAUAGUAAUAGGAAGCUGAUAUAGAAUAUUCCAUUAUUCAUUUGUUUAUCUUAGCAUUUUGGCUGCAGGGGCAGGGCAUAAGUUGAAAAAAGCAAAUUAUAUUGAAAUAGUUCUAUAGAUAAUACAUUUAGAAUUAAAAAUAAUAGUGAACACAUCAGAUUGCUAUAUAUUGUGUAGCUUAGUUUUUUACUAACUAUAUGUAUAUGUACACUUGAGUGGAUAUUUUGAAGUCUGGUAUUGUGGAGUAAAGUUUAUCAGUAAAACUAGACUGACUGUAUAGAGUAUGGUUUUUCAGCUCAUGAAACCCGCAUUUGCAUUUAAAAAUAAUCUACAUAUUAAUUUUCAUUAUUGAGCUAUUUAGGUCUUCAAGUGCCUUUGAAUGUAAAUAUUCAUUUGCUUUGCUUAAUUUUUUUUAACCUUAAGAUAUAAAAGCAAAAAACCCC